GCCAACAUAACAUAAUGAUUGUGUGUUGGACUCUGGCUCUGGAGUCCAGAGUUCAAUUCCUGGGUUGGCC